UUGAUGAGAAAAGCUUUGUGAAUUGUGAACGCGCUGAGCUACGCUGA
rnacentral:snoRNA from 1 species